UACGGAGGGGGCUAGCGUUGUUCGGAAUUACUGGGCGUAAAGCGCGCGUAGGCGGCUUUGUAAGUUAGAGGUGAAAGCCCGGAGCUCAACUCCGGAAUUGCCUUUAAGACUGCAUCGCUAGAAUCAUGGAGAGGUUAGUGGAAUUCCGAGUGUAGAGGUGAAAUUCGUAGAUAUUCGGAAGAACACCAGUGGCGAAGGCGACUAACUGGACAUGUAUUGACGCUGAGGUGGCGAAAGCGUGGGGAGCAAACAGG
rnacentral:rRNA from 1 species